GAUGAACGCUGGCGGCGUGCCUAAUACAUGCAAGUCGAACGAAACUUCUUUAUCACCGAGUGCUUGCACUCACCGAUAAAGAGUUGAGUGGCGAAAGGGUGAGUAACACGUGGGCAACCUGCCCAAAAGAGGGGGAUAACACUUGGAAAAAGGUGCUAAUACCGCAUAACCAUAGUUACCGCAUGGUAACUAUGUAAAAAGUGGGUAUACUACCGCCUUUGGAUGGGCCCGCGGCGCAUUAGCUAGUUGGUAGGGUAAAGGCUUACCAAGGCAAUGAUGCGUAGCCGAAUUGAGAGGUUGAUCGGCCACAUUGGGACUGAGACACGGCCCAAACUCCUACGGGAGGCAGCAGUAGGGAAUCUUCCACAAUGGGCGAAAGCCUGAUGGAGCAACGCCGCGUGGGUGAAGAAGGUCUUCGGAUCGUAAAACCCUGUUGUUAGAGAAGAAAGUGCGUGAGAGUAACUGUUCACGUUUCGACGGUAUCUAACCAGAAAGCCACGGCUAACUACGUG
rnacentral:rRNA from 1 species